AUGGCCUUUGGUUCAGAGCAUGCUUCUGGAAACAAGGGGAAAAAAUAAAUAUGGAGUGACGGAGGGAAAUCAAUUAGCCCCUCACAGAUGGGCCUUCAGCAUCCUAGCGACUGUUAUUGUCACUAAUAUGAAAGGUUAAGUGAGGUGAGAAGAGAAGUAACAUGGAAAGUGUUGAGUCCAGGGCUUUGUGAGACAGCCUCACCACCGCAGCAGGAGAGCCCAAGGGGAUCAGGGGAUGGCUGUAGAGAACAGGACCCAGACCAAGCUGGCCAGGCUCCCCUGAGGGUGUGGGCAGUCAGAGGCAGCUGUAAGUCUUGAAAAAUCCACUGACCAGAGAAACACCCAUAGGGCAUAUGAGGGGUGAUCAUGGGACGACGAGAUGGAUUGGUUGUCUAAAACAGAGAUUAUUUUCUUCUGGUUUUCCCUUCCUCUCCUUCAAGAAACCAUGCUUGUCUCAGCUAAUUGCUUGCUUCAGUUCCAAAAUAGAAAGGUGAUAACAGAAAGUAGAAGAAAAAGUAUCUUUUCUGCCCUUCAGUUCUCAAAAACAACAACAACAACAACAACAAACUAAGACUUAAAGGAAAAAGAAGGAACUUAAGAAAUAGAUAAAAUAGAUAAAAGUUUUGGGAAAAACACUUUGGACAAAAGCAAACCAAACCAAACCAAACACAACCACCUUACCACCCCCUUGGCUAGAAGGAUGAAAAAAAAAAAAAGGAUUCAUCAGACUAAGAAGAUGAAGGAGAAACAGUGCUGAAGAGAUCAGAGCAAACUCCAUGUGUAUUGUUUAUAUGGUCUGAGACAAAAGGGCUGAGGAACAUAGAUUGUGAGAAAAUCUAGAAGUGCACAUCACCACGCUCCUCCCAAGAGGGCACUGCUCAUCGUUGGUAGCUAGAAGCCAUUGGGAAGCUGAGACAGUGCCAGAAGUCGGCCAGAAUGGUGACCACCCCAUGGUGCCUGCCUCAAAGCUACAUAUACUGUCUUUUGAGAGUCAUUAUUGGCUGAUUCUUGAUCAUCCCAAAAAGAGUGACUCCACUCUGUGCCCUGAGCCACUGUGUGGU
rnacentral:lncRNA from 12 species